AUUUUGUUCAUGCAUGAUAUUAUUUAUGUCUUAAGUCUGAUUAACCAAUUAAAUAUUGAAAAUUUGAAAACUUUAACUGCAGUAUACUGCAUGAAAAUAAUUACAUACGAAAUAAUCUGUUUACAGAAUUAAACUGCUAUGAAUGAUUCUAGGCUUACAAUUGUGUAUUUUCAGAUGUAGUUUGGUCUACAGACGAUUGAUCACUGACUCUUGAAACAAAAAUGUUAAAAGUCCUAAUAAAGUAUGAAGUUUAAGUUUAUUGAGAAUCACACACUUCCAAAAGGGUUUGUCAAUUAUAGCUAAGGCUAUUUAUUCGUUGGGUUCAUCAAAAUGAUUAAUGGAGAGUAAAUUGUUUUAAAUUUUCUGAAAUUAUUGUCUAUUAGAUGCUGAAACACAAAAAAAAACCCGAUUUUUUUUUAACAUUGCAUGGUUCUGUCUGGUAUGCUUGUUCAGUACAGGUUCUGUCUGAAUAAGUAUGCUGGUUCAGCACAGGUUCAGUCUGGUGAAGUAUGCUUGUUCAGCACAGGUUUUGUCUGGUGAAGCAUGCUGUAUGAGUAUGCUUGUUCAGCUGUUCUGUCUGUCUGGUUUGUUCUGUCGAAGUAUGCUUGUUCAGCUCAGGUACUGUCAACUUUAUAGUAGAUGUUCGCUAUGACAUUUCAGUAGACAAUUAUUUCAAGUCAGCCAAUGUACAAAGCAGUUAUAAUAAAAAAAAAAAAAAAAAUAUUUUCACAAGUUUUUGAUUAAAUAUUUUUUUGAAAUUUAUUUGUGAUUUCUGGUUUGCUUGCAGCAGAGAUAUUUAAAGUAACAUGUUUCAUUUGCAUGUCUUUAGAACUAUAUUAUUGUCAUAAAACUAUGGCCUUAAACUUAUGUUAAAAUAGCUUGUUAUGUAAAGAUAACUGAGGGCUUUAAAAGUGCAAUUUGUUAAUGGUAUAUACAAUGAUUGUUAAUUUUACUUGUUACUUAUUGCAAAGGUGUUUUGUUAUGAGUUAAACUUUAUAUGUAAAAAUUGUU
rnacentral:lncRNA from 1 species